rnacentral:rRNA from 1 species
UACAACUUUCAACAACGGAUCUCUUGGUUCUGGCAUCGAUGAAGAACGCAGCGAAAUGCGAUACGUAGUGUGAAUUGCAGAAUUCAGUGAAUCAUCGAAUCUUUGAACGCACAUUGCGCCCUUUGGUAUUCCAAAGGGCAUGCCUGUUCGAGCGUCA